UUAAGGAUAAUAAUCCCUUUCCCAGUUCCAGGCUGCUCCCUGUGGCCAGAGAAGGCAGCCUUGAAGGUGUUGGGUAAAGACCACCUGCCCAGCUCUCCAGGCUUGCUAAUGUGGGGGAAGGAGAUGCAGCCCAAGGAUCCUGAAGCUCUUGCAUCAAGUAGCUAUACUCCACCCAGAGCUGCCGGCCACGGGUCCAGUGAAAGAAAACUGUCAGGACCACCACUGCUGCUGCCACCAACCCCUCCCCGGCAAUAGAGGUGGAAUAGAGAUGACCUGCCCCCACCUGCUAAGCUUCCCUGCCUAUCUCCUGAGGGAUUCCUGGGCAACAUGGAUAAGAACAACACCAGUAGAACAUCAGAAUCCAGGAGACUAAAACAGCUGCUUGGGAAGAUAAAGAAGACAUGGCAGGGCAGGCAUGGUGGCUCACACCCGUAAUCCGAGCACUUUGGGAAGCUGAGGCGGGCAGAUCACGAGGUCGAGAGAUCGAGACCAUCCUGGCCAACACGGUGAAACCCCGUCUUUACUGAAAAUACAAAAAUUAGCCGGGCAUGGUGGCUGGUGCCUGUAGUCCCAGCUACUCAGGAGGCUGAGGCAGGACAAUGACUUGAACUCGGGAGGUGGAGGUUGCAGUGAGUGGAGAUUGCACCACUGCACUCCAGCCUGGCGACAGAACGAGAUUCCGCCUCAAAAAAGAAGACAUGGCAAACUGCAGUGCCACCCAGCCUGCCCCUGCUGUCUCCACACCUGCUGAGACUCCCUGCCCGGGCCACCUACACUUCACAGAUCCCAGCUCCUCCUCCUACCUCUGACUUGGCCCACAUGGCUGCUGGGCCCCUCACCCUGCCUGUCCCUCCACCUUCGCCCACACCAAGAAUUGAGUAAAAAUUGAUAUCCAUAAUUCCUAACUCUCCCCUGGGUCUUCCUGCUGACCUUGCCCCCAUUUUGGGGGUUCCACCUAAUGAGAAAGGAGGCUGCCCUCAUUCAGCUGCAGCUUCAGCACCUCUGACCUCUCAGCCCUGCCCCAUACCUCCUAGCCCCACAUCUUUCUCCUUCCAGCUUCCCUUCAGAAGGGAGCCUCCUACACCCAUAUGUGUUUUCCUCUCCUCCUCUUUCCUCCCCAACUCCUCUUCCAGCACCUUCCACCGGGAUCGCUGCUAUCACUCAUCAGCAGUUGAAUUCCACAGCAGCCAUUUCCACCAUCACAGCAAGGGCAUCUGCCCACCUGACCUUGCAG
rnacentral:lncRNA from 1 species